AGAGUUUGAUCCUGGCUCAGGAUGAACGCUAGCGACAGGCUUAACACAUGCAAGUCGAGGGGCAGCGGGGAUGAAGCUUGCUUCAUCUGCCGGCGACCGGCGCACGGGUGAGUAACACGUAUGCAACCUGCCCGUAACAGGGGGAUAAUCGGGAGAAAUCCCGUCUAAUACCGCAUAAUACCGACGGAAGGCAUCUUCCGUCGGUCAAAGGAGCGAUCCGGUUACGGAUGGGCAUGCGCCGCAUUAGGUAGUUGGGGGUGUAACGGACCACCAAGCCGACGAUGCGUAGGGGUUCUGAGAGGAAGGUCCCCCACACUGGUACUGAGACACGGACCAGACUCCUACGGGAGGCAGCAGUGAGGAAUAUUGGUCAAUGGACGCGAGUCUGAACCAGCCAAGCCGCGUGAAGGAUUAAGGCCCUACGGGUCGUAAACUUCUUUUGUCAGGGAACAAAAGUGAGGACGUGUCCUCAUCUGCGUGUACCUGAAGAAAAAGCAUCGGCUAACUCCGUGCCAGCAGCCGCGGUAAUACGGAGGAUGCGAGCGUUAUCCGGAUUUAUUGGGUUUAAAGGGUGCGCAGGCGGUCUGUUAAGUCAGCGGUAAAAGCCCGGGGCUCAACCCCGGCGAGCCGUUGAAACUGGCGGACUAGAGAGGAAGAGAAGUAGGCGGAAUGCGCGGUGUAGCGGUGAAAUGCUUAGAUAUCGCGCAGAACUCCGAUUGCGAAGGCAGCCUACCGGCUUCUAUCUGACGCUCAGGCACGAAAGCGUGGGUAUCGAACAGGAUUAGAUACCCUGGUAGUCCACGCAGUAAACGAUGAAUGCCGGCUGUCCGGCCCGACUGGGGGCUGGGUGGCGAAGCGAAAGCGAUAAGCAUUCCACCUGGGGAGUACGCCGGCAACGGUGAAACUCAAAGGAAUUGACGGGGGCCCGCACAAGCGGAGGAACAUGUGGUUUAA
rnacentral:rRNA from 1 species